rnacentral:rRNA from 1 species
CAAAGGGAAGCGAAGCGGUGACGCCUGGCAAAUACCCAGAAAUAACGUCCCAGUUCGGAUUGUAGUCUGCAACCCGACUACAUGAAGCUGGAAUCGCUAGUAAUCGCGAAUCAGAAUGUCGCGGUGAAUACGUUCCCGGGUCUUGUACACACCGCCCGUCACACCAUGGGAGUCGGAAAUGCCCGAAGUCAGUGACCCAACCGCAAGGAGGGAGCUGCCGAAGGUGGAGCCGGUAACUGGGGUGAAGUCGUAACAAGGUAAC